CGCAAAGAAGAACUAGAAAAGGAAGCUUCGCUGCCGCCAUUUCACGUGAAAAGCGGCGCGGUUCAGUCGAAGCCCACAGAGGAAAAUAGUCGGAAAAGGUCUGAGUUUUGUUUCAGUCAUAGUUUGAGUAUUAAAAGCCAAAAGUUUAAAUUUUUUUGCAGUGUAGUGUGUGAAGUUUUACAUUCUUAGUCGGUUUGUUUCGUCGCCUAGUGUAAACCUGCAAAAUGAGCUACGGUAGGCCGCCGCCAGACGUCGAGGGGAUGACCUCCCUGAAAGUGGACAACCUGACCUACCGAACCUCUCCCGAGACUCUUCGACGAGUUUUCGAGAAGUACGGCCGCGUGGGAGACGUCUACAUUCCCCGGGACCGGUACACCAAGGAGAGCCGGGGCUUCGCAUUCGUGCGGUUCCUCGACAAGCGCGACGCCGAGGACGCGAUGGACGCCAUGGACGGCGCGCUGCUCGAUGGGCGGGAGCUGCGCGUGCAGAUGGCCCGUUACGGACGACCGCCGGACUCCAUGUACAGCCGGAGGGGAGGACCACCACGCAGAUACGGAGGUCGCUCAGACAGUCCCCGCCGUCGCAGACGAAGCCGCAGUCGCUCCAGAAGCCGUUCCCGAUCCAGGAGCCGCAACCGCUACAGCCGCUCCAGAUCCCGCUCUUACUCCAGAUCCAGGUCGAGGUCCAAGACAAAGUCCAAGUCCAGAACGCCGAGGCGAAACAAGUCCAAGACUCCUUCCAGGUCGAGGUCUCGCUCCAGGUCCAAGUCCCGCUCCAGGUCCAAGUCCAAAUCAAGGAGCAGAACCCCAGCUUCCAACAGAGGUUCGAAGUCCCGAUCCAGGUCCAAAUCCAAGAGCGGGCCUAAGUCACCAGGAGAGAACAACACAGAGCCUUAACUCGAACUUGGACGCAUCUUGACGAUCUCGGAUGCUUUGAGCCUUUGCUGAAGACACCCGGAGCAGACUCACGCUGAGCAAGAGGACCCUACGAUUACUCCUGAAUGCAGACUGAAAGGCGCAGUUGUGUAGCAGUUGAGUAAUGCUGGUUAGCUGUUAAGAUGCAGUGCGGUGGUGACAUGGUGUGGCGUGUUGCGGUGCUGAGUGCCCGGCGCAGUUCCGGGGCUCAACCCUUCGCUGCCGUUUGCCGGUUUGUAAGCUCAAAGGUGUGGCAGAUCAUCAUCCUCCUGUGUUGUGACCUUUCUCUUCCUACGUGUUCUGUCCUAUAUUGUCCUUUUUUUCUACCCUUCUCUCCUGUGUCCCACUCCAACCUCCCCUCUGAGUUAUCCACUGUUUAACUGGUCUUGCUUGCUCUGAAAAAAUGGGUCCAGUGUGAUCCCUGUUGAAACGUUCAAGGGACAGUGUCUGCUUAUGGGAUUUUUUUUUUUAUUGCAUUUUUCUGUGAACCUCAAUUUUCUUGUAAUUGCGUUACAUGAAUGCAAAUAAAUGUCUUUGACAAGA